rnacentral:rRNA from 1 species
GCCAAUACUAGCCCUAAGCAUAACCAACACUAAUACCAAACCAACAUACACUAAACCAUUCACCUACACAAAGUAUAGGCGAUAGAAAUUUUAAUCUGGCGCUAUAGACGCAGUACCGUAAGGGAAAGAUAAAAACCACCCAAGCACAAAACAGCAAGGACUAACUCCUGUACCUUUCGCAUAAUGAAUUAGCUAGAAACAAUUUCACAAAGAGAACUACAAGCCAAAUUCCCCGAAACCAGACGAGCUACCCAAAAACAGCUAAAAGAGCGCACCCAUCUAUGUGGCAAAAUAGUGGGAAGAUUUCUGGGUAGAGGUGACAAGCCUACCGAGCCUGGUGAUAGCUGGUUAUCCAAGACAGAAUCUUAGUUCAACCUUAAGCUUACCUAUAGAACCACCUAAUCCCCCUGUAAGCUUAAUUGCUAGUCUAAAGAGGGACAGCUCUUUAGACACUAGGAAAAAACCUUAUAGAGAGAGUAAAACCCUCAAUUACCAUAGUUGGCUUAAAAGCAGCCAUCAAUUAAGAAAGCGUUCAAGCUCAACACCAACCACCCCAAAAAUACCAAACACAUAACUGAACUCCUCACACCACAUUGGAUUAAUCUAUCACCAUAUAGAAGCAAUAAUGCUAGUAUAAGUAACAUGAAUAUUUUCUCCACUGCAUAAGCCCAAAUCGGAUCGAAAACCUCACCGAUACCUAACAGCCAGGCAUAGCAAGCACAAACAAGCCCAUGCUACCUUCACUGUUAACCCAACACAGGUAUGCCUCAAGGAAAGGUUAAAAAAAGUAAAAGGAACUCGGCAAACUUAAACCCCGCCUGUUUACCAAAAACAUCACCUCUAGCAUUACUAGUAUUAGAGGCACUGCCUGCCCAGUGACACACGUUUAACGGCCG